AGGAAACAUCGGUUCCCGUACAAUCACAGAAGUUAAGAAACGUCGAGCCUGGUCAAUACCUAGAUGGGUGACAUCUUGGGAAUAUCAAGUGUUGUAA